AGAGUUUGAUCCUGGCUCAGAACGAACGCUGGCGGCAGGCUUAACACAUGCAAGUCGAGCGCCCCGCAAGGGGAGCGGCAGACGGGUGAGUAACGCGUGGGAAUCUACCCAACUCUACGGAAUAACUCAGGGAAACUUGUGCUAAUACCGUAUACGCCCUUCGGGGGAAAGAUUUAUCGGAGUUGGAUGAGCCCGCGUUGGAUUAGCUAGUUGGUGGGGUAAAGGCCUACCAAGGCGACGAUCCAUAGCUGGUCUGAGAGGAUGAUCAGCCACAUUGGGACUGAGACACGGCCCAAACUCCUACGGGAGGCAGCAGUGGGGAAUAUUGGACAAUGGGCGCAAGCCUGAUCCAGCCAUGCCGCGUGUGUGAUGAAGGCCUUAGGGUUGUAAAGCACUUUCNCNNGAGAAGAUAAUGACGGUAUCCGGAGAAGAAGCCCCGGCUAACUUCGNNCCAGCCGCCGCGGUAAUAC
rnacentral:rRNA from 1 species